GUGAGAGACAGCGAUGCUCUCUCCUCUGGCCCGCAGCAAAAACCUUUGUCCCGCAGAUUCCCCCGGCUGAACCCCUCCGCUGGGCUGAAUUUAGCAGCAGAGGAGAUAACCAGCAGAUAAGGGCUGAUACCCUGGGAGGACAGCGGGAGACGGGCAGGCGGCCGAGGAAAGGGAGAGGAGCCGGAGGCAGCGCUGGGAAGGGGAAAAAAGGUACAAAAGCAAUUCCCGUGGAUUGUUUCGCGAGCGUGUGGCCGGAUCCCGCCUCUUUCUUUUUUGGGGGGAAUUAUCGGUCUGCGUAGACGGGAAUCGCGGGAACGCUCAUCCCGAAAUUCGGGCAGUGACGAACUGCACCGAGCCCAGCCUGGCGUGACCCGACAGGAUUUAGGACACAAUUUCUCCCGGAGAAAGCAGAUGGGACACAGCAAAGCACAGAGACAAAAAACAAAAACCCCUAAACCAAACCGAAAACUUUGUUCUGCACGCGG